AUUGGUUUCGAUUGAAGCUCAUUCAAAGUAGCUUGAUCUCCGGGAAAUCACUGAUCUUGCCAGAACCACUGUGGAACUCACGGCUCCAAAUCCACCCCCUCAAGGGAAAAAAUCAUAAAUUCGCCUACAUUUGUGUGGGGAACUCGGAGACUCGGUGCCCCGGCAACUGCGCCUGGCCGUUCCACCAGCUAAUUUACGACCUGCAGAGCCGGCCGCUGGUGGCUCCUAACAACGACGUCGGUGCCGACAAAUCCCUUCGGAACAUAAGUUAGAAAAAUCUAACUUAAAUUUGCACAUUUACGAACAAAUCAAGAAAUGUUUCGAACAAACACCAAUACUAUCUGAAUCGUUCUCUUUCCCCAUUCCAGAAUUGACAGGACACAAUUUUCCUAUACAAUAUAACAAAUUCAGAAGUCAAAAUCAGAGGAAAAAACUAAAGAUACACAGCCGACAAUUGUACAAACUUUCUGAAAGAGGCAUAUUCUCAGUUUUUAAUCUUAAUCAAACCAUUCAUGUGUAGAAUCGAAAACUAUAUCGAUAGAGCCUAAUCUAAAAUACCAAACCCAGAAACUAAGUGAAAAUUAUAUUACAUAUAACAUAAUCAAAAUCUGAAACGUAUAUUAAUGAUCUAGAUUUUGAAAACCCAACCAAAAAUUCGAAAAACCAGCCAAACCAAAAAUUUCGAUCUACAAAAAAUCAUAUUACAUAUACAAAAAAAUUUCAAACAUGAUUUCAAAAAUCCAACAAAAAAUUUCGAACAUGAUUUCAAAAACCCAGCAAAAAAUUAGAUUCAAAACCCCUAAAACACCAAAAAAAUAAAUAUUGAACAAAAAACCAGAAAAGAAAUCGCAUUACCUGUUCGAUUUCAGCCCAAAUCUUGUCUUCAAGCAAAAUCGUCGACCAAGAACUUCGAUAUAACCGGUAAAAUAAAUUAACGAUCGGAAAGCAGAGAAAAUAUUAUCGAAAAUCUGUAGAUAUCAACCAACAUGCAUCUGAGGGAUUGGAACACGAGAGAGAGAGAGAGAGAGAGAGAGAGAGAGAGAGAAUAGGUAGUAGAUGGGGAGAAGAUAUGUUGCGGUAAAUGUGGAGAGAAUUUGGGAUGCUUCCUUUUUUACUUAUUUUCAAAGUUAC
rnacentral:lncRNA from 1 species